rnacentral:tRNA from 1 species
GCCCUCGUGGCCCAACGGCAGAGGCACCAGACCGAGGCUCUGGACGGUGCGCGUUCGAAUCGCGCCGAGGGCAC